GGGGUCGUGGUGUAGCCUGGCCUAACACGCUGCCCUGUCAAGGCAGAGACCGCGGGUUCGAAUCCCGUCGACCCCGCCA
rnacentral:tRNA from 1 species